rnacentral:rRNA from 1 species
UACGUAGGGACCAAGCGUUGUUCGGAUUUACUGGGCGUAAGGGCGCGUAGGCGGCGUAUUAAGUCAGCUGUGAAAUCUCCAAGCUUAACUUGGAACGGUCAGCUGAUACUGAUGUGCUAGAGUGCAGAAGGGGCAAUCGGAAUUCUUGGUGUAGCGGUGAAAUGCGUAGAUAUCAAGAGGAACACCUGAGGUGAAGACGGGUUGCUGGGCUGACACUGACGCUGGAAGCGACGAAAGCUAGGGUAGCAACGGG